rnacentral:rRNA from 1 species
UCCUGCCCGGUGAUUAAUUUUUUAACGGCCGCGGUACCCUGACCGUGCGAAGGUAGCAUAAUCAUUCGCCUUUUAAUUGGAGGCUAGUAUGAAUGGACACACGAGAGAUCAGCUGUCUCUUUCGUGCCCCUGAAAAUUGAAAUGUAAGUGAAGAUGCUUACAUUCGAAUGCAGGACAAAAAGACCCUAUUGAGUUUCACUUCCUCUCUAGUGCACCUUAAAUAAUAUAUAAUUAAGAGCCUAUGGACACGAAGUUUGAUUGGGGCAAUCGGGGACCAAAUCUAUCGUCCCUCUAACCUAACCCCUAACCUAACGACCCACUACCGUGACUAAAAAAAUCAACUACCAUAGGGAUAACAGGCUAAUCUUCCUAGAGAGACCAUAUUGACAGGAAGGGUUGGCACCUCGAUGUUGGCUUAGGGUACCCCUUAAAUGCAGAAGUUUAAAAAGGUGGGUUUGUUCAACCCAUAAUACCCU